ensembl:lncRNA
GGAUGAUGCAGGGGGAUCAGGACAGAGGUUACAGUGAGGUGAGAGGGGGGUGAAGAGAUACUAGGUCACAGCUUAAUUUAUUGGUCACGUAGAGUUUUGCAGAUGUUAUCGCAGGUGCAGCGAAAUGCUUAUGUUUCUAGCUCCAACAGUGCAGUAAUAUCGUGUGUGUUGCUGCUGUGAACCUGGUGACAUCACUUCCCAGGUCCGAUUAGUGUCAUACACUCUGGGGAUCCGGUGUCGGCUAAGCCAUUCAGUUUCUAAGAACUUCCCCUUCCACCUUUUCACACACACCUUUUUGUAAAUUUUUUAAAUCCGUUAUUUUACCAGGUAAGUUGACUGAGAACACAUUCUCAUUUGCAGCAACGACCUGGGGAAUAGUUACAGGGGAGAGGAGGGGGAUGAAUGAGCCAAUUGUAAACUGGGGAUUAUUAGGUGACUAUGAUGGUUUGAGGGCCAGAUUGAGAAUUUAGCCAGGAUACUGGGGUUAACACCCCUACUCUUAUGAUGAGUGCCAUGGGAUCUUUAAUGACCUCAGAGAGUCAGGACACCCAUUUAACUUCCCAUCUGAAAGACGGCACCCUACACAAGGCAGUGCCCCCAAUAACUGCCCUGGGGCAUUGGGAUAUUUUUUUUUAGACCAGAGAAAAGAGUGCCUCCUACUGGCCCUCCAACACCACUUCCAGCAGCAUCUGGUCUCCCAUCCAGGAACUGUCCAGGACCAACCCUGCUUAGCUUCAGAAGCAAGCCAGCAGUGGUAUGCAUACGCAUGCGUCGUAGACCUUUGAGAAGGAGGGUGAGAAAUGGUUGGGAGAGAGGGAAACAGAGAGACAUGGUUGGGAGAGAGAGGGAAACAGAGAGACAUUGGUUGGGAGAGAGAGGGAAACAGAGAGACAUUGGUUGGGAGAGAGAGGGAAACAGAGAGACAUUGGUUGGGAGAGAGAGGGAAACAGAGAGACAUGGUUGGGAGAGAGAGGGAAACUGAGACAGUGGUUGGGAGAGAGAGGGAAACAGAGAGACAUGGGAAACAGAGAGACAUGGUUGGGAGAGAGAGGG